GACGAACGCUGGCGGCGUGCUUAACACAUGCAAGUCGAACGGAAAGGCCCUGCUUUUGUGGGGUGCUCGAGUGGCGAACGGGUGAGUAACACGUGAGUAACCUGCCCUUGACUUUGGGAUAACUUCAGGAAACUGGGGCUAAUACCGGAUAGGAGCUCCUGCUGCAUGGUGGGGGUUGGAAAGUUUCGGCGGUUGGGGAUGGACUCGCGGCUUAUCAGCUUGUUGGUGGGGUAGUGGCUUACCAAGGCUUUGACGGGUAGCCGGCCUGAGAGGGUGACCGGCCACAUUGGGACUGAGAUACGGCCCAGACUCCUACGGGAGGCAGCAGUGGGGAAUAUUGCACAAUGGGCGGAAGCCUGAUGCAGCAACGCCGCGUGCGGGAUGACGGCCUUCGGGUUGUAAACCGCUUUCGCCUGUGACGAAGCGUGAGUGGCGGUAAUGGGUAAAGAAGCACCGGCUAACUACAUG
rnacentral:rRNA from 1 species